rnacentral:rRNA from 1 species
UUUGGUUAAGUUAGAAAGGGCGCACGGUGGAUGCCUUGACACUAGGAGUCGAUGAAGGACGGGACUAACGCCGAUAUGCUUCGGGGAGCUGUAAGUAAGCUUUGAUCCGAAGAUUUCCGAAUGGGGAAACCCACCAUACGUAAUGGUAUGGUAUCCUUACCUGAAUACAUAGGGUAAGGAAGACAGACCCAGGGAACUGAAACAUCUAAGUACCUGGAGGAAGAGAAAGCAAAUGCGAUUUCCUGAGUAGCGGCGAGCGAAACGGAACAUAGCCCAAACCAAGAGGCUUGCCUCUUGGGGUUGUAGGACAUUCUAUACGGAGUUACAAAGGAACGAGGUAGACGAAGCGACCUGGAAAGGUCCGUCGUAGAGGGUAACAACCCCGUAGUCGAAACUUCGUUCUCUCUUGAAUGUAUCCUGAGUACGGCGGAACACGUGAAAUUCCGUCGGAAUCUGGGAGGACCAUCUCCCAAGGCUAAAUACUCCCUAGUGAUCGAUAGUGAACCAGUACCGUGAGGGAAAGGUGAAAAGCACCCCGGAAGGGGAGUGAAAGAGAUCCUGAAACCGUGUGCCUACAAAUAGUCAGAGCCCGUUAACGGGUGAUGGCGUGCCUUUUGUAGAAUGAACCGGCGAGUUACGAUCCCGUGCGAGGUUAAGCUGAAGAGGCGGAGCCGCAGCGAAAGCGAGUCUGAAUAGGGCGUUUAGUACGUGGUCGUAGACCCGAAACCAGGUGAUCUACCCAUGUCCAGGGUGAAGUUCAGGUAACACUGAAUGGAGGCCCGAACCCACGCACGUUGAAAAGUGCGGGGAUGAGGUGUGGGUAGCGGAGAAAUUCCAAUCGAACCUGGAGAUAGCUGGUUCUCCCCGAAAUAGCUUUAGGGCUAGCCUUAAGUGUAAGAGUCUUGGAGGUAGAGCACUGAUUGGACUAGGGGUCCUCAUCGGAUUACCGAAUUCAGUCAAACUCCGAAUGCCAAUGACUUAUCCUUAGGAGUCAGACUGCGAGUGAUAAGAUCCGUAGUCAAAAGGGAAACAGCCCAGACCGCCAGCUAAGGUCCCAAAGUGUGUAUUAAGUGGAAAAGGAUGUGGAGUUGCUUAGACAACUAGGAUGUUGGCUUAGAAGCAGCCACCAUUUAAAGAGUGCGUAAUAGCUCACUAGUCGAGUGACUCUGCGCCGAAAAUGUACCGGGGCUAAAUACACCACCGAAGCUGCGGAUUGAUACCGAAUGGUAUCAGUGGUAGGGGAGCGUUCUAAGGACAGUGAAGUCAGACCGGAAGGACUGGUGGAGUGCUUAGAAGUGAGAAUGCCGGUAUGAGUAGCGAAAGACGGGUGAGAAUCCCGUCCACCGAAUGCCUAAGGUUUCCUGAGGAAGGCUCGUCCGCUCAGGGUUAGUCAGGACCUAAGCCGAGGCCGACAGGCGUAGGCGAUGGACAACAGGUUGAUAUUCCUGUACCACCUCUUUAUCGUUUGAGCAAUGGAGGGACGCAGAAGGAUAGAAGAAGCGUGCGAUUGGUUGUGCACGUCCAAGCAGUUAGGCUGAUAAGUAGGCAAAUCCGCUUAUCGUGAAGGCUGAGCUGUGAUGGGGAAGCUCCUUAUGGAGCGAAGUCUUUGAUUCCCCGCUGCCAAGAAAAGCUUCUAGCGAGAUAAAAGGUGCCUGUACCGCAAACCGACACAGGUAGGCGAGGAGAGAAUCCUAAGGUGUGCGAGAGAACUCUGGUUAAGGAACUCGGCAAAAUGACCCCGUAACUUCGGGAGAAGGGGUGCUUUCUUAACGGAAAGCCGCAGUGAAUAGGCCCAAGCGACUGUUUAGCAAAAACACAGCUCUCUGCGAAGCCGUAAGGCGAAGUAUAGGGGGUGACACCUGCCCGGUGCUGGAAGGUUAAGGAGAGGGGUUAGCGUAAGCGAAGCUCUGAACUGAAGCCCCAGUAAACGGCGGCCGUAACUAUAACGGUCCUAAGGUAGCGAAAUUCCUUGUCGGGUAAGUUCCGACCCGCACGAAAGGUGUAACGAUUUGGGCACUGUCUCAACCAGAGACUCGGUGAAAUUAUAGUACCUGUGAAGAUGCAGGUUACCCGCGACAGGACGGAAAGACCCCGUGGAGCUUUACUGUAGCCUGAUAUUGAAUUUUGGUACAGUUUGUACAGGAUAGGCGGGAGCCAUUGAAACCGGAGCGCUAGCUUCGGUGGAGGCGCUGGUGGGAUACCGCCCUGACUGUAUUGAAAUUCUAACCUACGGGUCUUAUCGACCCGGGAGACAGUGUCAGGUGGGCAGUUUGACUGGGGCGGUCGCCUCCUAAAGUGUAACGGAGGCGCCCAAAGGUUCCCUCAGAAUGGUUGGAAAUCAUUCGUAGAGUGCAAAGGCAUAAGGGAGCUUGACUGCGAGACCUACAAGUCGAGCAGGGACGAAAGUCGGGCUUAGUGAUCCGGUGGUUCCGCAUGGAAGGGCCAUCGCUCAACGGAUAAAAGCUACCCCGGGGAUAACAGGCUUAUCUCCCCCAAGAGUCCACAUCGACGGGGAGGUUUGGCACCUCGAUGUCGGCUCAUCGCAUCCUGGGGCUGUAGUCGGUCCCAAGGGUUGGGCUGUUCGCCCAUUAAAGCGGUACGCGAGCUGGGUUCAGAACGUCGUGAGACAGUUCGGUCCCUAUCCGUCGUGGGCGUAGGAAAUUUGAGAGGAGCUGUCCUUAGUACGAGAGGACCGGGAUGGACGCACCGCUGGUGUACCAGUUGUUCUGCCAAGGGCAUAGCUGGGUAGCUAUGUGCGGAAGGGAUAAGUGCUGAAAGCAUCUAAGCAUGAAGCCCCCCUCAAGAUGAGAUUUCCCAUAGCGUAAGCUAGUAAGAUCCCUGAAAGAUGAUCAGGUUGAUAGGUUCGAGGUGGAAGCAUGGUGACAUGUGGAGCUGACGAAUACUAAUAGAUCGAGGACUUAACCAUAUAA